rnacentral:rRNA from 1 species
GGAGAUUGAACGCUGGCGGCAGGCCUAACACAUGCAAGUCGAGCGGAUGAAGGGAGCUUGCUCCUGGAUUCAGCGGCGGACGGGUGAGUAAUGCCUAGGAAUCUGCCUGGUAGUGGGGGAUAACGUCCGGAAACGGGCGCUAAUACCGCAUACGUCCUGAGGGAGAAAGUGGGGGAUCUUCGGACCUCACGCUAUCAGAUGAGCCUAGGUCGGAUUAGCUAGUUGGUGGGGUAAAGGCCUACCAAGGCGACGAUCCGUAACUGGUCUGAGAGGAUGAUCAGUCACACUGGAACUGAGACACGGUCCAGACUCCUACGGGAGGCAGCAGUGGGGAAUAUUGGACAAUGGGCGAAAGCCUGAUCCAGCCAUGCCGCGUGUGUGAAGAAGGUCUUCGGAUUGUAAAGCACUUUAAGUUGGGAGGAAGGGCAGUAAGUUAAUACCUUGCUGUUUUGACGUUACCAACAGAAUAAGCACCGGCUAACUUCGUGCCAGCAGCCGCGGUAAUACGAAGGGUGCAAGCGUUAAUCGGAAUUACUGGGCGUAAAGCGCGCGUAGGUGGUUCAGCAAGUUGGAUGUGAAAUCCCCGGGCUCAACCUGGGAACUGCAUCCAAAACUACUGAGCUAGAGUACGGUAGAGGGCGGUGGAAUUUCCUGUGUAGCGGUGAAAUGCGUAGAUAUAGGAAGGAACACCAGUGGCGAAGGCGACCACCUGGACUGAUACUGACACUGAGGUGCGAAAGCGUGGGGAGCAAACGAGAUUAGAUACCCUGGUAGUCCACGCCGUAAACGAUGUCGACUAGCCGUUGGGAUCCUUGAGAUCUUAGUGGCGCAGCUAACGCGAUAAGUCGACCGCCUGGGGAGUACGGCCGCAAGGUAAAACUCAAAUGAAUUGACGGGGGCCCGCACAAGCGGUGGAGCAUGUGGUUAAUUUCGAAGCAACGCGAAGAACCUUACCUGGCCUUGACAUGCUGAGAACUUUCCAGAGAUGGAUUGGUGCCUUCGGGAACUCAGACACAGGUGCUGCAUGGCUGUCGUCAGCUCGUGUCGUGAGAUGUUGGGUUAAGUCCCGUAACGAGCGCAACCCUUGUCCUUAGUUACCAGCACCUCGGGUGGGCACUCUAAGGAGACUGCCGGUGACAAACCGGAGGAAGGUGGGGAUGACGUCAAGUCAUCAUGGCCCUUACGGCCAGGGCUACACACGUGCUACAAUGGUCGGUACAAAGGGUUGCCAAGCCGCGAGGUGGAGCUAAUCCCAUAAAACCGAUCGUAGUCCGGAUCGCAGUCUGCAACUCGACUGCGUGAAGUCGGAAUCGCUAGUAAUCGUGAAUCAGAAUGUCACGGUGAAUACGUUCCCGGGCCUUGUACACACCGCCCGUCACACCAUGGGAGUGGGUUGCUCCAGAAGUAGCUAGUCUAACCGCAAGGGGGACGGUUACCACGGAGUGAUUCAUGACUGGGGUGAAGUCGUAACAAGGU